UACGAAGGGUGCAAACGUUGCUCGGAAUUAUUGGGCGUAAAGCGCACGUAGGCGGCUUGGCAAGUCGGAUGUGAAAUCCCUCGGCUCAACCAAGGAAGUGCAUCCGAAACUGCUGAGCUUGAGUACGAAAGAGGAUCGCGGAAUUCCCGGUGUAGAGGUGAAAUUCGUAGAUAUCGGGAGGAACAUCAGUGGCGAAGGCGACCACCUGGCCCAACACUGACGCUGAGGUGCGAAAGCGUGGGUAGCAAACAGG
rnacentral:rRNA from 1 species